UGGGGAAUAUUGCACAAUGGGGGAAACCCUGAUGCAGCGACGCCGCGUGAACGAAGAAGGUAUUCGUAUCGUAAAGUUCUGUCCUAUGGGAAGAUAAUGACAGUACCAUAGAAGAAAGCUCCGGCUAAAUACGUGCCAGCAGCCGCGGUAAUACGUAUGGAGCGAGCGUUGUCCGGAAUUAUUGGGCGUAAAGGGUACGCAGGCGGUUUAAUAAGUCGAAUGUUAAAGAUCGGGGCUCAACCCCGUAAAGCAUUGGAAACUGAUAAACUUGAGUAGUGGAGAGGAAAGUGGAAUUCCUAGUGUAGUGGUGAAAUACGUAGAUAUUAGGAGGAAUACCAGUAGCGAAGGCGAAUUUCUGGACACAAACUGACGCUGAGGUACGAAAGCGUGGGGAGCAAACAGG
rnacentral:rRNA from 2 species